rnacentral:misc_RNA from 1 species
AAAGUCGUAACAAGGUAACCGUAGGUGAACCUGCGGUUGGAUCAUUACUGAAAUGAUAGAGAAGCAGAGAUUUAUCUCUGUUUCUUGAUGCACUCUGUGCAAACAUUAUUGUGCACUGUACAUUGUACGCUGGUGGGUGGCAGUCCUCACUUUGGUGAGGAAAGCCAAGUCCCCAGGUUUUCUUUUGGCAUUUAUUCAAUUGAGAACUUGGGAAAGAGACAGCCCACCGGCAACUUGUUUUUUACCUUUGUUAUUUAUUUAAAUUGUCUGAAACAAAAGUAUUUGUAGUAAUAUACAAAAACAACUUUUGGCAACGGAUCUCUUGGUUCUC